GUGCUCACUUUGGCAGCACAUAUAGUAAAAUUGGAAUGAUACAGAGAAGCUUAGCAUGGCUCCUGCACAAGGUUGACACGCAAAUUCGUGGAGUGUU
ensembl:snRNA U6 U6 spliceosomal RNA